rnacentral:rRNA from 1 species
UAAUACGAAGGGGGCAAGCGUUGUUCGGAAUUACUGGGCGUAAAGGGCGCGUAGGCGGCUUAUCAAGUCAGGCGUGAAAUUCCCGGGCUCAACCUGGGGGCUGCGCUUGAUACUGAUGAGCUUGAAUGCGGGAGAGGAUAGUGGAAUUCCCAGUGUAGAGGUGAAAUUCGUAGAUAUUGGGAAGAACACCGGUGGCGAAGGCGGCUAUCUGGCCCGUAAUUGACGCUGAGGCGCGAAAGCUAGGGGAGCAAACGGGAUUAGAUACCCCGGUAGUCCUAGCCGUAAACGAUGGACACUAGGUGUUGGUGGUAUCAACCCCGCCAGUGCCGAAGCUAACGCAUUAAGUGUCCCGCCUGGGGAGUACGGCCGCAAGGCUA